UUUUUUUCCAUCGGUUAUAAUUUAAAAAAACACAGACGGGCAGGUAUCAAGGGAAGCCGGUGAGAAUCCGGCGCGGUCCGCGCCACUGUAAGGUGGAGCAGUCUGCAUUAUGCCACUGGGCUUUUGCCUGGGAAGGCGCAGGCCUGCGGUGAAGCCGAGCCAGGAGACCUGUUCCUGCCUGUGAGCUGGGU
rnacentral:ncRNA from 21 species